GUUUCAUCCUCUUUUUCAGGUAGUUAUUUAAGUUCGGGUUGUUCUUAAUGGGGUAUGGGAACUUGAUAUAAUAGCCCUUGGUUGAAACUAUGUCGAGUCUAUUGGGGACUGCCUUUCAAUUGUGUAAACUGAGUAUGAUUAUGAAUUUUCUGUUGGAUUGUGCAUUACUCUUUGUUUGUAAAAGAUUUUGGGGGAGAAGGAAAAUAAUGAGAGAGAAGUAUUUAGGGAAGAAAAACCAAAUUUCCUCUUGUUUGGAUAUUAGGGAAGAAAAAGCAGGAGUAAAAUCUCUAUUUUAGCUUGUUAUGUGUAAUUAAAAUAAAUAAUUUGAGGGGUAGAAAUGUAGUGUAAUUAAGUUUCCUUGCACUUUCUCUCCAAAUUUCUAUCCAAUUUGGAGAGUAAGCGAAUUGUGGAUCCCAUGUCUUGUUUUUCCCUACAUGUCCCCAUGUCUUGUUUUUCCCUCCAUUAUUUUCCUUCCCCAUAAACCCCUAAUUUUCCUUAUUUCCAAAUAAGAGAAUGGUGGAAAAUUCUUUAAUUU
rnacentral:misc_RNA from 1 species